GUUGGUUGGAGCCGUUGGAGCGAAAGGCGAAUGGAUGAAAAGAAGGAUUACUCGAAGCCAAUCAAGCCAUUGGUUACAUUCAUCGCUUUGUGAUUCCACGAGGAUCUGCUGGUGAAAUACUUUCAUCGAAUCAAUUGUUAUUCUGCAUAAGUGCAUUUAAUAUGCUGUUAAAGGCAGGAUUUCUGCCGUGCGAUAAUUUAAUCUUUGGAGAAGAAUUCCAAUUAAUAUCUAAUUUGGAAGAUAAUUCAAGAAUAUUGCACGUUCAAUUGGAUUCAAUUUUUUCAGUGUAAUACAUUCCAAUAGUAUUUUCUAUACACAUCUAAUUUUCUAUACACAUCUUCAAACUACAUCGAUUGAUCUCCAUGAAUGAAGACUUACUUUGUACACUGUGCCAGAUGAUAAUUCGAAUUCUAGACUCAUGUACUUUUGCUCAAUCACACAAAAUUACAUGGGUAAUUGCAAAAGAAUUACUUACUCAGCGGUUUUUCUUCGAGAGGACGUCACGAAUGGAUUGAAAAGUAAAACGGUGGAAAGGGGAAACGCACUUCUUCAGCAUAAAUUUGGUGAAUCACUCAAACCAGGAAAUGUUCCGGACUC